CUACAUGGUAGAUAUGAGGAGUUCUGCCUUAUCUUGUGUUAUGUAAAUAUUUUUGUGCUUCCCAAACAAAGUUUUUCUUUCCCUUUGAUCUGGCUUUCUUGUAGCCAGUUUAACCUCCAGAAAGAGGCAGGAGAUUCACAGAGAUUGCCACUGGCAUUAGGCCUGGGAAAAAAAAACUGGAGAGAGAAAAGAAAACUCCAAAUUACUGCUGUAAACAGCUCAUUUAGAAGUGGAUGCUCACCAAAGGGAAAGGUCUGCUGCUGGUACCUCCUUGAAGAAAAAGUUCAUUUAUUACAACAACCAACCAGCUGGAGAUGUUAUUGAGGUCAUGGAUGCUAAGGCAAGAGGAAGCAGUGCCCUGGGAAUGUCUGCCUCUGGAAUCCCAGCCAGCAGGAAAACUUGGCAGAGCUUUGCUGUGCCUCAGCCCUCCCCUGGUUCAGCAGGGCUGAUUGAUCAGCCCAAGGCUGCUGAAAUUGGGGCAACGCAAACCCCCAAGACAUUGUUUUCCAGACCAUGA
rnacentral:lncRNA from 1 species